rnacentral:rRNA from 1 species
GACGAACGCUGGCGGCGUGCUUAACACAUGCAAGUCGAACGGAAAGGCCCUGCUUUUGUGGGGUGCUCGAGUGGCGAACGGGUGAGUAACACGUGAGUAACCUGCCCUUGACUUUGGGAUAACUUCAGGAAACUGGGGCGAAUACCGGAUAGGAGCUCCUGCUGCAUGGUGGGGGUUGGAAAGUUUCGGCGGUUGGGGCUGGACUCGCGGCUUAUCAGCUUGUUGGUGGGGUAGUGGCUUACCAAGGCUUUGACGGGUAGCCGGCCUGAGAGGGUGACCGGCCACAUUGGGACUGAGAUACGGCCCAGACUCCUACGGGAGGCAGCAGUGGGGAAUAUUGCACAAUGGGCGGAAGCCUGAUGCAGCAACGCCGCGUGCGGGAUGACGGCCUUCGGGUUGUAAACCGCUUUCGCCUGUGACGAAGCGUGAGUGACGGUAAUGGGUAAAGAAGCACCGGCUAACUACGUG